rnacentral:rRNA from 1 species
GAUGAACGCUGGCGGCGUGCCUAAUACAUGCAAGUCGAGCGAACAGACGAGGCGCUUGCUCCUCUGACGUUAGCGGCGGACGGGGGAGUAACACGUGGAUAACCUACCUAUAAGACUGGAAUAACUGCGGGAAACCGGAGCUAAUACCGGAUAAUAUCUUGAAACGCAUUGUUCAAUAUUGAAAGACGGUUUUGCUGUCACUUAUAGAUGGAUCCGCGCCGCAUUAGCUAGUUGGUAAGGUAACGGCUUACCAAGGCAACGAUGCGUAGCCGACCUGAGAGGGUGAUCGGCCACACUGGGACUGAGACACGGCCCAGACUCCUACGGGAGGCAGCAGUAGGGAAUCUUCGGCAAUGGACGAAAGUUUGACGGAGCAACGCCGCGUGAGUGAAGAAGGUUUUCGGAUCGUAAAACUCUGUUAUUAGGGAAGAACAAAGGUGUAAGUAACUAUGCACGCCUUGACGGUAUCUAACCAGAAAGCCACGGCUAACUACGUG